UAUCUAUUGGCCGGUAACAGUAUGUGGGAGGACCCAGACUGAGCAACAGACAAAAAUCAAAGCAGAGGAAGAGAUCCAGGACGAAUUACAGGCAUAUAAAAGCUGAUCUGAGGAUGGUAAGAUCCUUGAAGAGACAUAACAGUUUUCUCACACACAACGUUACUGAAUUCUCUUAGUGCCUCAGUGUUGGGACACAAUCAUGUCCCUUCCACUGGACCUGAGCUCCUUCCACAGGGAUGCUUCACUGGGCACGCUGGAGAAGCAGCUCAUCUGCCCCAUCUGCCUGGAGGUCUUUACCAAACCUGUGGUCAUACUGCCAUGCCAGCACAACCUCUGCCGCAAAUGUGCUAACGAACUUUACCAGCCUUCUCUGUUCCAGGUUGGGAUUGGAGGUCGUUUUCGGUGUCCAUCCUGUCGGCACGAAGUCGUUUUGGACCGUCAUGGUGUUUAUGGGCUCCAGAGGAACCUUCUAGUGGAAAAUAUCAUUGAUGUCUACAAGCAAGCAUCUGCAAGUUGUAGGCCUCCACCGAAACCACUGGCACAAAUAAACUGUGAAGAACACGAAGGGGAGAAGCUGAACAUUUACUGCAUCACCUGUCAGAUCCCCACGUGUUCACUCUGUAAAGUGUUUGGAGCACAUAAGUCCUGUCAGGUGGCUCCCGUCUCUGAUGUAUAUCAACAGCAAAAGACCGAACUCAGUGAUGGGAUUGGAUCCCUGGUUGCCACUAAUGAGUGCAUCCAAGCUUGCAUAAAUGAUCUGGAGGAGAUCUGUAGGAGUGUUGAGGAAAAUAGCAGAAACCAAAAGCAGAUACUGUGUGAGAAGUUCGACCGUAUGUGUGGUAUCCUGGAAGAAAGACGUAAGAUUAUGUUACAGCGAAUCACAUAUGAGCAGGAUGAAAAGACAAGCUGGGCCCAAAGCUUGGUACAUACCUACAGUGAGCAUGUUGACACAAACUCAAAGUUGGUGCAGACUGCCUUGAACGCCAUGGAAGAGCCAGAGAUGGCUGCAUUUCUUCAGACCUCAAAAAACCUCAUUGAACAGGUCAGCGAGGCAACUAAAUCUGCUCCAUUGCAGACCUUACAGCCUGGAUAUGAAAACAUGGAUCACUAUAAGGUUGAUUUUAAUGCUGAGGAGAGGGCUCUCUACCAGCUAGAUUUCAUCAAACCUGAAGAGGAGGUUGAAGAGCCUCCAGAAGAACCAGCACCAGAACCUGAGCCAGAAGUGUUACCAGAACCUGAACCUGAGCCUGAAUAUGAACCAGUGCACAGUCUGGUAGAGAGCUCUGAGCCAGACAAUGAACUGAAGUUGGAAAACUAUGAGAUAAAGAAUGUUUUAUCUGAGACGAAGGAGGAAAACCAGUUACAAGUAGAGGGAUGUUCAGCGAGACCAAAAGAUGUCAUAUGUGAGAAAAGUGGACUGAACACCCAACAGGACCAGACAGAGUUAGGGUGUGAGGGGCAUGAUUCAGGAAUCCACUGCUUAACUUCAGAAGCAGGUGAAGAGACUAAGCUCUACCCCACUUGGUAUAGACCCAACAACAGGCCAAUGCUUAGCCAAAGCCAAGCAACACCUACUGAUGCCUUGGGGGUUCCUGGCCAUAUACCCAAACUCAUGAGUGAACCCUCAUGUCAGUUCCACCAGACAGACACACCUCUGUCCAUGUGGAUAAGUGGCAGCCUUAUGCCUCUGUCUAAUGAGAACCAGGCCCAACUCGGAAGAGGCUCACUAGAGAGCACCCAACCAUAUAUGUCAGAGGUUGAGAAGAAUAUUUGUUCUGAGUUGGUCAGUGGGCCUGCCAACAAGGAUAGCAUGACUUCUAUAUCUCCACAGGCCAUCAUCCAUAUAUUUUACGUCCUGGCCUUACUCUUCAUCCUCCAGAGAGUAUGGGGGAACAUUCAGUGCCUUUUUUGCAUAUAGCACGGCUGGGGAAUUACAGAUUUCAGGGUGAACCCUGCUCAAUGGGAGCCCAGGACAACAGAGAGAUGGAUCAGAGCACUGAUACAAGCUUUCACAACUACUCUGAUGCCCCAAUGUGGUAGACAGACAGAAGCAAGCAAGCAUACAAACAGUUAGUCAGCCUGCAGCUGCAGAUCACUCAGCGGUGGGAGCCAGCUCUCCUACUGUUACAAGUGAGCCGGCUCGUAUCAGCUUCUCCUUCUCCUGGCUGAAUCCACUUGCCAAGAAGAAAUGAAUGCUCCUCUUAGAGAGAAGCCAUCAGGUCCACAAGCCAUUUUCUUCAGCUGGCCAUAACGUACAGGCUUUACCUCAGGGCAAACUGAAUGUUGUCCAGUAGGCCCACUACCACUCCUGCUGUAAUUUGUAAAAGAUGUAUGCACCAGCUAUAAGUACAUAACAGAUCAGUUCCACAUAUAUGCUUUUACUUGUUACACAUAGCCUUGAUUAUUACAAACUAUAUGGAUAUAAAUUCUAAAAUAGCUGCCUGAGAUAGAAAGAACUUCAUGUAUGAAAUUGUUGGUUAUGAGAAAGACUUAGUGUUUAGAUAUAUUUCUACAUUGGUUUGGUUGUGACUUGAAGGUUGAAGUCAUACUGUAGUGCAGUAUUGAAGUGGUGCUGAUGGCAUAGCUGUGAAAGUGUUGCAUUAGUAAAAAUGUGGCAACACUUGUUUGUUGGACUGUUUAUGUGUUUAUUUUCAAUAUCUAUUACAGGUCACAUACACAUUAAGCAAUACUUAAUGAUGAAUGUGAAAAAUAAAACAUACUGACAACUGUU